ACACAUGCAAGUCGAACGGAAUUUACAUGAAGCCUAGCGAUUGUAAAUUUAGUGGCGGACGGGUGAGUAACGCGUGGGUAACCUGCCUUGUACUGGGGGACAACAGUUGGAAACGACUGCUAAUACCGCAUAAGCGCACAGCUUCGCAUGAAGCAGUGUGAAAAACUCCGGUGGUACAAGAUGGACCCGCGUCUGAUUAGCUGGUUGGUGAGGUAACGGCCCACCAAGGCGACGAUCAGUAGCCGGCCUGAGAGGGUGAACGGCCACAUUGGGACUGAGACACGGCCCAAACUCCUACGGGAGGCAGCAGUGGGGAAUAUUGCACAAUGGGGGAAACCCUGAUGCAGCAACGCCGCGUGAGUGAAGAAGUAUUUCGGUAUGUAAAGCUCUAUCAGCAGGAAAGAAAAUGACGGUACCUGACUAAGAAGCCCCGGCUAACUACGUGCCAGCAGCCGCGGUAAUACGUAGGGGGCAAGCGUUAUCCGGAUUUACUGGGUGUAAAGGGAGCGUAGACGGUUUUGCAAGUCUGAAGUGAAAGCCCGGGGCUUAACCCCGGGACUGCUUUGGAAACUGUAGGACUAGAGUGCAGGAGAGGUAAGUGGAAUUCCUAGUGUAGCGGUGAAAUGCGUAGAUAUUAGGAGGAACACCAGUGGCGAAGGCGGCUUACUGGACUGUAACUGACGUUGAGGCUCGAAAGCGUGGAGAGCAAACAGGAUUAGAUACCCUGGUAGUCCACGCCGUAAACGAUGAU
rnacentral:rRNA from 1 species